GAUGAACGCUGACAGAAUGCUUAACACAUGCAAGUCUAUGAGAAGAUCUACUUCGGUAGAAGGUAUCAUGGCGGACGGGUGAGUAACGCGUAAAGAACUUGCCUCUUAGACUGGGAUAACAGAUGGAAACGUCUGAUAAGACUAGAUAUAAUAGCGACAUGGCAUCAUGUUGUUAUGAAAGGCAACACUAAGAGAGAGCUUUGCGUCCUAUUAGUUAGUUGGUGAGGUAAUGGCUCACCAAGACGAUGAUAGGUAGCCGGCCUGAGAGGGUGAACGGCCACAAGGGGACUGAGAUACGGCCCUUACUCUUACGGGAGGCAGCAGUGGGGAAUAUUGGACAAUGGAGGAAACUCUGAUCCAGCAAUUCUGUGUGCACGAUGUAAGGUUUUCGGAUCGUAAAGUGCUUUCAGUAGGGAAGAAGAAAGUGACGGUACCUACAGAAGAAGCGACGGCUAAAUACGUG
rnacentral:rRNA from 1 species